rnacentral:rRNA from 1 species
UACGUAGGGUGCGAGCGUUGUCCGGAAUUAUUGGGCGUAAAGAGCUUGUAGGCGGUUUGUCGCGUCUGCUGUGAAAAUCCGGGGCUCAACCCCGGACUUGCAGUGGGUACGGGCAGACUAGAGUGUGGUAGGGGAGACUGGAAUUCCUGGUGUAGCGGUGAAAUGCGCAGAUAUCAGGAGGAACACCGAUGGCGAAGGCAGGUCUCUGGGCCACUACUGACGCUGAGGAGCGAAAGCGUGGGGGAGCAAACAGG